rnacentral:rRNA from 1 species
CUACGUGCCAGCAGCCGCGGUAAUACGUAGGGUGCAAGCGUUAAUCGGAAUUACUGGGCGUAAAGCGAGCGCAGACGGUUACUUAAGCAGGAUGUGAAAUCCCCGGGCUUAACCUGGGAACUGCGUUCUGAACUGGGUAGCUAGAGUAUGUCAGAGGGGGGUAGAAUUCCACGUGUAGCAGUGAAAUGCGUAGAGAUGUGGAGGAAUACCGAUGGCGAAGGCAGCCCCCUGGGAUAAUACUGACGUUCAUGCUCGAAAGCGUGGGUAGCAAACAGGAUUAGAUACCCUGGUAGUCCACGCCCUAAACGAUGUCGAUUAGCUGUUGGGCAACUUGAUUGCUUAGUAGCGUAGCUAACGCGUGAAAUCGACCGCCUGGGGAGUACGGUCGCAAGAUUAAAACUCAAAGGAAUUGACGGGGACCCGCACAAGCGGUGGAUGAUGUGGAUUAAUUCGAUGCAACGCGAAGAACCUUACCUGGUCUUGACAU